rnacentral:tRNA from 2 species
GGGGUUAUAGCUCAGUGGUAGAGCGCUUGCCUAGUAUGUAUAAGGGGUUUGAUUCCCUAGCACUA